AUUACUGGUGAAUUAACUUCAGCAGCUGAACUUUUGACGAGAAGUGUUUUAAGUGGCUGCUUUUUUGCGCGACCACACCCACGCUAUACUCCUCUGUCUUUUUCAAAAUGCAGAAAGGGCCGACCAACUAUUAACAAAUUUUAAGUAUUAAAAAAAUUUUUAAAAAA